AGUGAACGCUGGCGGUAGGCCUAACACAUGCAAGUCGAACGGCAGCACAGUAAGAGCUUGCUCUUACGGGUGGCGAGUGGCGGACGGGUGAGGAAUACAUCGGAAUCUACUUUUUCGUGGGGGAUAACGUAGGGAAACUUACGCUAAUACCGCAUACGACCUACGGGUGAAAGCAGGGGAUCUUCGGACCUUGCGCGAUUGAAUGAGCCGAUGUCGGAUUAGCUAGUUGGCGGGGUAAAGGCCCACCAAGGCGACGAUCCGUAGCUGGUCUGAGAGGAUGAUCAGCCACACUGGAACUGGGACACGGUCCAGACUCCUACGGGAGGCAGCAGUGGGGAAUAUUGGACAAUAGGCGCAAGCCUGAUCCAGCCAUACCGCGUGGGUGAAGAAGGCCUUCGGGUUGUAAAGCCCUUUUGUUGGGAAAGAAAAGCAGCAGGUUAAUACCCCGCUGUUCUGACGGUACCCAAAGAAUAAGCACCGGCUAACUUCGUG
rnacentral:rRNA from 1 species